UGAAUCUGCAAUGGGGGAAUUGAAACCAGGUGUGAAAAAGACAAAACGAAUGGAAAAUGAAAAGUGGAUCGGCAAUGGCUAGAAUACCGGUGACGUUGACCGCCAAGCGCCGCCCGAACAAGAAGAAGGACUGACUUCGGCGGAAGUCAUGACAGUACCCCCCUCCCCUUGAGGCGCGCGCCGACACCGGCCUCGGGGACGACCCGGAUGGAGACAGUGGAACUCCUGCAGCAUCGACGGGUCCAAUACGUCCUCCACCGGCACCCAGGAUCUCUCCUCCGGACCUUACCCCUCCCACUCCACGAGGUGCUGAAGUCCCCUCGCUAGACGCCUCGAGUCCAGUAUGGCUCGAACUGCAUACGCCGGGUCCCCCUUGAUGUCCAAAGAGGGCGGAGGAACCUCCCGCACCUCAGACUCCUGGAGUGGACCAACCACCACCGGCCUGUGUAGAGACACAUGGAACGAGGGGUUAAUAUGGUAAUCGGGGGGGAAGCUGUAACCUGUAACAAACCUUGUUCAAUCUCCUCAGGACUUUGAAUGGCCCCACAAACCGCGGGCCCAGCUUCCGGCAGGGCAGGUGGAGGGGCAGGUGGAGGAUCGAGAGCCCCGGUGUGCCGUGGCGGUCAGUGCCAGUCCUCUGACGCCUCCCGGCCCACUGAAGGUGCACAUGAGCGGUGUCCCAUGUCUCCUCCGAGCGCCUAAACCAGUCGUCCACCGCAGGGGCCUCGAUCUGGCACUGAUGCUUAGGUGCCAGAACCGGCUGGUACCCCAGUACGCACUGGAAGGGGGAGAGGACUAGAAUUAAGUCUGAGGCCGGUAACAUCAACAGUAACGACAAACCCAGCCUGCCUCUCUCAUUCCACACUGAGUCCAAACCCACAGUCACUGGGUCCUGAUUGUGACAGUGGAGCCCAGUUUGCACUGCAGGAUCCAGAAAUGGCAUCAGUGAAGGUGGAAGACUACAGUCAAACACUGGAGCUGAAUGUCGACAUUAAAGAUGAAGAAGAGGAGGAGAAGAUUGGGAAAUAUGUUAAUCAUGGAGAACAUGUUGAGACAUUCUCUACAUCCAGAGAGCAUCAGCAGGAAGAUCACAGAGCAAAGAAGUCUCACCACUGCACACAUUGUGAGGAGAUUUUCCCAUUUCUAUCAAAGCUAAAAAUACACCUAAAAAUACACACAGGAGAAAAGCUUUACUCCUGCUCUGAAUGUGGAAAAUGCUUCAAAACAUCAACUGCACUAAAAGUUCAUCAGAGAACACACACAGGAGAGAAGCCUUACUCAUGUUCUGAAUGUGGAAAAUGCUUCAAAACAUCAACUGCACUAAAAGUUCAUCAGAGAACACACACAGGAGAGAAGCCUUACUCCUGCUCUGAAUGUGGGUCGAGUUUCUCUAAUCAGUACACCUUAAAACGACAUGAACAUAUACACACAAGAAAGAAGCCUUACUCCUGCUCUGAAUGUGGGGCGAGUUUCUCUCAAAUGGGUACCUUUAAAAGACAUGAACGUAUACACACAGGAGAGAAGCCUUACUCCUGCUCUUACUGUGGAAAGAGUUUCUCUCAACAGGGUUCCUUUAAACUACAUGAACGUAUACACACAGGAGAGAAGCCUUACUCCUGCUCUUACUGUGGAAAGAGUUUCUCUCGUCCGGACACUUUAAAACAACAUGAUUGUAUACACACAGGAGAGAAGCCUUACGUAUGCUCUGACUGUGUAAAAUGCUUCAAAACAUCAACUGCGCUAAAAGUUCACCAGACAACACACACAGGAGAGAAGCCUUACUCCUGCUCUGACUGUGGAAAGAGUUUCCGUCAACUGGGCACAUUAAAACAACAUGAACG